rnacentral:lncRNA from 1 species
UCGGGUUAAAUCUAUAUAAACAAAACCCAAGUUACUGAAAAUUACUAAAAUUAAGUUGCUCACUUAUUAAGAAUAGGUUGGAUGGAUUUGACCUAUUUUGGGGGCAUCACAACAAGUUUUUGACAUCUCGCAUCCAACAUACUCCUCACAUACUUCCUGCACUUGUACUCCAUCCGUCCCUGCAUAUAUAUAUACACACACAUGGUGCAGUUUUAGUUUUAUGCGUGCGGUUUUGGCUAAUAACCAAAUCAAAACUGUAACUUUGGUUUUUUAACCCACCUAAAACCGCCACAUACGUCGGAACCAUUGGUGCAGUUUUAAUUGGUACAUUUUGUGCGAUUUUUAGUGCGAUUUUGGUUCGAAUUUGGUUCCUUACUCGACCCUAAUUUUUAGUAUCAAUAUUUUGAUAUUUUUUUUUGGUAUCGGUAGCAGUAG